ACUUGAGUAGCUUAAUUAAAAAGUUUAAUAUUGAAGAUAUUAAGAUAAGUUUGUACUUUUCAAGUA
rnacentral:tRNA from 1 species